CCUACGGGAGGCAGCAGUGAGGAAUAUUGGUCAAUGGGCGCGAGCCUGCACCCUCCCCUUCUCUUUCUUGCUGCCUGUUCUCUUGCUCGUCCCCCUCUUUUCUCAGGGAAUAAAGUGUGGGACGUGUCCUAUUUUGUAUGUACCUUAUGAAUAAGGAUCGGCUAACUCCGUGCCAGCAGCCGCGGUAAUACGGAGGAUCCGCGCGUUAUCCGGAUUUAUUGGGUUUAAAGGGUGCGUAGGCGGCCUUUUACGUCAGCGGUGAAAGUCUGUGGCUCAACCAGAGAAUUGCCGUUGAAACUGGGGGGCUUGAGUAGGUUUGAGGCAGGCGGAAUGCGUGGUGUAGCGGUGAAAUGCUUAGAUAUCACGCAGAACCCCGAUUGCGAAGGCAGCCUGCCAAGCCAUGACUGACGCUGAUGCACGAAAGCGUGGGGAUCAAACAGGAGUAGAUACCCUGGUAGUC
rnacentral:rRNA from 1 species